AGAGACAGCAGUCGCCACGGUAACACGUAGGUCCCGAGCGUUGUCCGGAUUUAUUGGGCGUAAAGCGAGCGCAGGCGGUUAGAUAAGUCUGAAGUUAAAGGCUGUGGCUUAACCAUAGUACGCUUUGGAAACUGUUUAACUUGAGUGCAGAAGGGGAGAGUGGAAUUCCAUGUGUAGCGGUGAAAUGCGCAGAUAUAUGGAGGAACACCGGUGGCGAAAGCGGCUCUCUGGUCUGUAACUGACGCUGAGGCUCGAAAGCGUGGGGAGCAAACAGGAUUAGAUACCCGGGUAGUCCCUGUCUCUUAUACA
rnacentral:rRNA from 1 species